CUCACUUGAGCGCUGCCGAGGGUGCCGCUUGAGGAAAACGUGAGUUUGUGAAGGGUCUCACUCCGUCACUCUGCAGGAAUGCAGUGGUGUGAUCAUGGUUCACUGCACCUUGACCUCCUGGGCUCAAGCAUCUUCCCCACUCAGCCUCCCAACAGCAUGAGCCACCAUGCCUGGCUAACAAAUUGAUACCAACUAUCACUCUUCUCAGCUACCUAAAAAGGUG
rnacentral:lncRNA from 10 species